rnacentral:tRNA from 6 species
GCCCGCGUAGUAUAAUGGUCAGUACGGGAGUUUGUGGAACUCUAGGAUUUGGUUCAAUUCCAAGCGCGGGUACCA